CUGGGCCCAUAACCCAGAGGUCGAUGGA
rnacentral:piRNA from 3 species